rnacentral:rRNA from 1 species
AUUGAACGCUGGCGGCAGGCCUAACACAUGCACGUCGAACGAGUGGCGGACGGGUGAUUAAUGUCUGGGAAACUGCCUGAUGGAGGGGGAUAACUACUGGAAACGGUAUCUAAUACCGCAUACCCUCGGAUGUGCCCAGAUGGGAUUCGCUUGUUGGUGGGGUAACGGCUCACCAAGUCGACGAUCCCUAGCUGGUCUGACAGGAUGACCAGCCACACUGGAACUGAGACACGGUCCAGACUCCUACGGGAGGCAGCAGUGGGGAAUAUUGCACAAUGGGCGCAAGCCGGAUGCAGCCAUGCCGAGUGUAUGAAGAAGGCCUUCGGGUUGUAAAGUACUUUCAGCGGGGAGGCGUGACCCGCAGAAGAAGCACCGGCUAACUCCGUGCCAGCAGCUGCGGUAAUUC